rnacentral:rRNA from 1 species
GAUGAACGCUGGCGGCGUGCUUCAUACAUGCAAGUCGAACGCUGAAACCCCUUCGGGGUGAAUGAGUGGCGUACGGGUGAGUAACACGUGAGUAACCUGCCCCGCAGUCUGGAAUAACCCCGGGAAACUGGGGCUAAUACCGGAUACGACUCCGGCGGGCAUCCGCUGGAGUGGAAAGGUCUGUGCAUGAUACUUCGGUAUUGUGCUCAGCUCCGCUAUGGGAUGGAUUCGCGGCCUAUCAGCUUGU